rnacentral:tRNA from 1 species
GGGCGAUUGGCUCAGUGGUAGAGCGCUUCCUUCACACGGAAGAGGUCGCUGGUUCGAUCCCAGUAUCGCCCACCA